rnacentral:sRNA from 1 species
ACCUCCGGGGGCAAGAGGUUCGACCCGAGCGAAGCGAGAGAACGUUGCGUCAGCAACGGCCCGCAGGGCGAGCCACGUAGUGGCGAGUCAUCCUCUAUCACCGACCA